rnacentral:rRNA from 1 species
AUGCAUUGGUAUCAAAUGGAAGGUUUGUAUCUAUGGACUGAACUACAGAAUGCCAGAAUAGAGGAGGAAAGCCUAGCCUAUCGAAGGCUAACAUCUUCAAGCAACUCCAAGCAUCUUGCAGCAUGUAGAAGAGUAAAGAAUAGCAGUUUAAUUAACAAGCAUGUUGUAACAACAACGCCUAGAGAUCCUUCCUCGACUCCCUGCGAGAAAGCAAUCUUGGAGCCACAUAUCCACCACAUGUCUCAAGUAUCCAUUUCUAGUUAUAUAAGAUCAGGAUACAAGUAUGAACGUCCAUUACCGUGGACACGGUAUUCGAAUAUAUAUCUUCCCUACAGGGGUGCACCACGUUACCCAACACGCUCGAUCACUCUGGCCGGACACACCUUUCUGGGGUCAAUGCCCGGCCUCGGAAGAUCAACACAUCACAACCUUACCUAG